GACGAACGCUGGCGGCGUGCUUAACACAUGCAAGUCGAACGAUGAAACCUAGCUUGCUAGGUCGAUUAGUGGCGAACGGGUGAGUAACACGUGACUAACCUGCCCCUUUCUCUGGGAUAACGCUUCGAAAGGAGUGCUAAUACCGGAUACUCACAUCGAGGCACAUGCCUUGAUGUGGAAAGUUUUUCGGAAAGGGAUGGAGUCGCGGCCUAUCAGCUUGUUGGUGAGGUAACGGCUCACCAAGGCGACGACGGGUAGCCGGCCUGAGAGGGCGACCGGCCACACUGGGCCUGAAGCACGGACCAGACUCCUACGGGAGGCAGCAGUGGAGAAUAUUGCACAAUGGGCGCAAGCCUGAUGCAGCGACGCCGCGUGAGGGAUGAGUGUCUUCGGAUUGUAAACCUCUUUCAGUAGGGACGAAGCGAAAGUGACGGUACCUAAAGAAGAAGCACCGGCUAACUACGUGCCAGCCGCCGCAGUAA
rnacentral:rRNA from 1 species